CGCCUCCUGCCCCCAACAAUAUAGGAGGUCCCGCCUGCCCUGUGACCAAAAGUUUAACGGCCGCGGUAUUUUAACCGUGCAAAGGUAGCGCAAUCAAUUGUCUUUUAAAUGGAGACCUGUAUGAAUGGCAUAACGAGGGUUUAACUGUCUCUUUUUUCCAGUCAAUGAAACUGAUCUGCCCGUGCAGAAGCGGGCAUAUUAACACAAGACGAGAAGACCCUAUGGAGCUUUAGACGCCCACCAACUAUGAAAAGAGACCAGAUUAAUGGAGACCCAAACAACAUAGCCCUGGCACAAACGUCUUCGGUUGGGGCGACCACGGGGGAAAAUAAAGCCCCCAAGAGGACAGGGGAAUACCCUAGAACCAAGAGUUACAGCUCUAAGUCACAAAACAUUUGACCGAUUAAUGAUCCGGCCCACGCCGAUCAACGGACCAAGUUACCCUAGGGAUAACAGCGCAAUCCCCUCCCAGAGUCCAUAUCGACGAGGGGGUUUACGACCUCGAUGUUGGAUCAGGACAUCCUAAUGGUGCAGCCGCUAUUAAGGGUUCGUUUGUUCAACGAUUAAAGUCCU
rnacentral:rRNA from 1 species